rnacentral:rRNA from 1 species
GGCGGUAUUUUAGUCUAUUCAGAGGAAUCUGUCCUAUAAUUGAUAAUCCACGAUUUAAUUUACUUUUAGAAAAAAUUUAUAUAUCGUCGUAGUUUGAAUAUUUUAAAAGAAUUUUAAUGUUCAAAAUUUUUUUUAUGAAAUUAAAUCAGAUCAAGGUGUAGUUUAUAUAAAAGAAGAGAUGGAUUACAUUAAAUUUAUUUAAAGAUUAAUUUUUGUAAAAUUUUAUGAAUAUGGAUUUGAUAGUAAUUUUUUUAAAAUUUUAAAAAUGAUUUAAGCUCUAAAAUAUGU